CCUACGGGAGGCUGCAGAGGGGAAUAUUGGACAAUGGGGGGAACCCUGAUCCAGCGACGCCGCGUGAGUGAAGAAGUAUUUCGGUAUGUAAAGCUCUAUCAGCAGGGAAGAAAGAAAUGACGGUACCUGACUAAGAAGCCCGGCUAACUACGGGCCAGCAGCCGCGGUAAUACGUAGGGGGCAAGCGUUAUCCGGAUUUACUGGGGGUAAAGGGAGCGUAGACGGCGAUGCAAGUCUGAAGUGAAAGGCGGGGGCCCAACCCCUGGACUGCUUUGGAAACUGUAUGGCUGGAGUGCAGGAGAGGUAAGUGGAAUUCCUAGUGUAGCGGUGAAAUGCGUAGAUAUUAGGAGGAACACCAGUGGCGAAGGCGGCUUACUGGACUGUAACUGACGUUGAGGCUCGAAAGCGUGGGGAGCAAACAGGAUUAGAUACCCGGGUAGUC
rnacentral:rRNA from 1 species